CCCAAGUGCCUCUCUCCUUCUCUGAAAAAGGAAGAGGAUGAGAAGGAGAAGUAAUAAUGAGUAAUGUUUUUCUUUCCUGACAUCUAAACUGGUUAUCCGAAGCAGCAGCCAUUCAAGGAAUGAGGCAACUCACUACAGCUGGAUGACAUUGCUUCACACAUUGAAAACUCUGGAGCAGAGCAACGUUUGUGCCAAGUCCAUCAUGGAGUGGAUCAUGAGAGCCACAGGGAAGGCCUAUAAUCCCCACUGUUUCACCGGCAUCAACUAUCAGCGCAGUUUGGAUGGCGUACCUUUCACCAUCAACGCUGGCAGCAACAUCCACUGAAUCGAGGACUUCCAUAGAUAUGGGGCUUUUGGAAGUAUCUCUCUUUGUGCUCAAGGAGGGGGAAAUGGAACAAGGAUGUUGGAUGCAAGGUUAUGGAAGCUGUAGUCCAAAAAAUCAGUGGUUCCCAACCUGUUGUCCAUGAACCGCCAGUGGUCCCCAAGAACUAAAAUAUGGUCUGCGGCCUCACUGUUAUUACACCAUUGCAACGAGAGCGACUGGUUGCACAAAACCCUCUUAUAGUGCCGAGGCAACAGGGAUGUCAGGAGGGGAGAGGCCGACUACACACAAAAGGUACGACAACAAGCCUCCUGACUGCUGCUUCUCCUCCUCCUCC
rnacentral:lncRNA from 11 species